rnacentral:lncRNA from 1 species
CUGGAUUUAAGAUUCAUUUUUCCAUUCUAACCAUUCUGUUUCAUAACAGUAGAACUUAGGAGUGUUAAUGAUCUGAGUGGUAAGAGAGAAAAGGAAUGACCAGCGAGACCUUACUAUUCAAAGAGCUCGUUCCCUCUUUGUGGCCAAGUUUAUGCUGAAGAAGUUCUAGUAGUUCAGGAGGAUUUUUUAGGAAGCUGUUUUCAGAUAACAUAUUUACUGAGAAAUCACAGGAUGCUGCAAUUAGAAGCAGUACGUGCUGCUAGAAUUAUCUAGUUCUGCUCCUUGUCCCUCACCUCCACGUGCAUACCCAGUAUAGUUAGAAGUGCUCUGGAAUUUCAUGUAAGCAUCCUGCUAGCACUGCUUUUUUUUUUUUUUUUUUUUUUUUUUUUUUUUUUUUCCCCUCCAUCAGGAUUGUCUUGAUUGUACCAGCCUUAUGGCAUUACUCUGUCUUUCUGUUCCUCAGAUGAGCUCUGCAACAACUGCUGACUUUGAAGAGAGCUCUGCACGGUGUGGAUGUGAGACGACACCUUUCUCAAAGCAAAGAACUGCCCCUGUGAACUGCCCGAGGACCUGUGUGCUGUGUAAAAGCAUCAUAAACUGCCUAUGACCAAGUUCGGCCUUAGUGAUGACGUCGAGCUGCUUUUCCUUACCUGUUUCUCAGCUCAGAAGUGGAUGUCAUCUGUGGUGCCAGGAGCCUGUCUGAUGGGGACUUCAUUGGCAGUAAGCCUCCUCUCCUUGCAAUGGGCUGACAGGUUACUGCUUGCAUAUGUGGAUGUCCAGAGCUCCAGCACACACGGAUACUCAAAGGCAGAAAAUUGGCAGCUGACAAAUGAAUCCGUCAGAAUUCUGCGGAAAGAACACACAAUUUCUGGAUGUUUACAACUUCCAAGAGCAUCACUGCAAGCAUUUUAUCACUUCAAGAUUUCUCGGCUUGUGUAGUUAGCAGAUCUUCAUAAGGCUUGUCUGGAAUUCUAUUUCUUAAUAACUCUAAAUAAUGUUACUCUUUGAAAUCAUGUUAUCCAUGUACCAUGAGAUCCAAAUUUCUUCUAUGCAUAUGGAAUUCCAGGCAUAUAUGCAGUCUAGAAAACUGUUUUUUACCUCUAACUUUGAACAUUACUAUUGUUCUUAGAAUCUGGAAAAGCAGGACAAAUAAUUUUGCAUUCUGCUUUUUGGUGGGUUGAUGUGUUCUUCUUUAUUCAAAAUUAGUUUAUUUUCACAAGUUUUGGCUCCGUUGCAUUGGUUAUGCUUAAGUAUGGUGUGAGACCCUUGGAGGUAGUCACUAACCUCCAGGCAUUCGUGUAACAGAGUUGUUAUAACACAGUGCACAGGGUACGUGCAUAGGUACCCUCAGUCACUAAGGGGAGCUAUUUUCUAACAGAAGUGAGUUAUAAGAAGGGAAAAAUGGGGCCCCUGUUGAUGCCAAGAGAAAAACUGACUGAUGGAGCACUUUUUUUUCCUGAAAAUUUAUGUUACAUUGAGGUCCCAUUGGUAUUUAGAAGCCAGUGGUCCCUUUACCUUGGAGCAAGGCAGCAUAGCGGGCAGAGCUCACAGGGGGUGCACCUAACUUGCGGAAGGCCAGAUCCUCCACUGUUAACUUCACAUGACUUUGGAAAAGGCUUCUGACCUGCUUCCCUGAUGAACAGCAACAUAAGUUCAUGCCUGAAUUUUUUCUUUGCACCUUGUCUAGAUAUUUAUACCUGUGAACAGGGAGUGCUGAGCUGCCACCAAGAAAAAAGCAGAACUCUUAUUUGGAAGAAUUUCAUAGUCACUUUGUGCACACAGAAAUGAAGACUUAAAAGCUGUGGCAAAGGAGAGUAAGACCUGGAGACUGUCCUGAGCUCCAUGGAGAUGAUCAGACAGAAUCUUUCCCCAUCUCAGAGCACUUCUGGCUUGUCAUUGGUACGUUGUCUGUAUUCAUCAACUGCAGGGUUUGCCCUAGGCAGCCAAAAAGUACUGAAGGGAUAUAUAGGCCCCAACCCUUGCAUCUCUGCUAGUUCCCCUUCUUGUCACUCUGAGAAUUAUAUGACAUGUCAUUUUCUGUCAGCUUCUUUUCUCCUUCAGGAGUGCUGAGGCAAAUAAUUUAGCUUGUUCCAGAAAAUGUCAUUUUUCUAUCUCAAUAAAUUAGCCUGGCUGCUGUAUCUCUCCA